rnacentral:ncRNA from 1 species
CUCAUCAAGAGUGGUGGAGGGAAUGGCCCUGUGAAGCCACAGCAACCAUGGCCUUUGGGUCAACGGUGCUAAGUCCUGCAAUGCGUUAUCCGAUUGUGAGAUGAGA